rnacentral:rRNA from 1 species
GAUGAACGCUGGCGGCGUGCAUAACACAUUCAAGUCGAACGGAGUUAUUGUUUUAGAUCCCUUCGGGGUGACGAAGCUUUAACUUAGUGGCGGACGGGUGAGUAACGCGUGAGCAACCUGCCCUUGUGUGGGGGAUAACGUUUGGAAACGAACGCUAAUACCGCAUAACCAGAUAGUACCGCAUGGUACAGUCUGCAAAGAUUUAUCGCUGAAAGAUGGCCUCGCGUCUGAUUAGCUAGUUGGUGAGGUAACGGCCCACCAAGGCGACGAUCAGUAGCCGGACUGAGAGGUUGACCGGCCACAUUGGGACUGAGACACGGCCCAGACUCCUACGGGAGGCAGCAGUGGGGAAUAUUGCACAAUGGGCGCAAGCCUGAUGCAGCAACGCCGCGUGAGGGAAGACGGUUUUCGGAUUGUAAACCUCUGUCUUUGGUGACGAAGAAGUGACGGUAGCCAAGGAGGAAGCCACGGCUAACUACGUG